rnacentral:rRNA from 1 species
AUUGAACGCUGGCGGCAUGCUUUACACAUGCGAGUCGAACGGCAGCGCGGGCUUCGGCCUGGCGGCGAGUGGCGAACGGGUGAGUAAUACAUCGGAACGUGCCCAGUAGUGGGGGAUAGCUCGGCGAAAGCCGGAUUAAUACCGCAUACGACCUGAGGGUGAAAGCGGGGGAUCUUCGGACCUCGCGCUAUUGGAGCGGCCGAUGGCAGAUUAGCUAGUUGGUGGGGUAAAGGCCUACCAAGGCGACGAUCUGUAGCUGGUCUGAGAGGACGACCAGCCACACUGGGACUGAGACACGGCCCAGACUCCUACGGGAGGCAGCAGUGGGGAAUUUUGGACAAUGGGCGAAAGCCUGAUCCAGCAAUGCCGCGUGUGUGAUGAAGGCCUUCGGGUUGCAAAGCACUUUUGGCGGGAACGAAAAGGACUGUGCCAAUACCACGGUUCGAUGACGGUACCCGCAGAAUAAGCACCGGCUAACUACGUG